CAUUGUAUCGUCAAUACAUAUACUAAAAUUGGAACGAUAUAGAGAAGAUUAGUAUGACCCCUGCGCAAGGAUGACACGCAAAUUCGGGACGCUUCCAUAGUUAUA